rnacentral:rRNA from 1 species
GACGAACGCUGGCGGCGUGCUUAACACAUGCAAGUCGAACGGAAAGGCCCUGCUUUUGUGGGGUGCUCGAGUGGCGAACGGGUGAGUAACACGUGAGUAACCUGCCCUUGACUUUGGGAUAACUUCAGGAAACUGGGGCUAAUACCGGAUAGGAGCUCCUGCUGCAUGGUGGGGGUUGGAAAGUUUCGGCGGUUGGGGAUGGACUCGCGGCUUAUCAGCUUGUUGGUGGGGUAGUGGCUUACCAAGGCUUUGACGGGUAGCCGGCCUGAGAGGGUGACCGGCGACAUUGGGACUGAGAUGCGGCCCAGACUGCUACGGGAGGCAGCAGUGGGGAAUAUUGCACAAGGGGCGGAAGCCUGAUGCAGCAACGCCGCGUGCGGGAUGACGGCCUUCGGGUUGUAAACCGCUUUCGCCUGUGACGAAGCGUGAGUGACGGUAAUGGGUAAAGAAGCACCGGCUAACUACGUG